UGGGGAAUAUUGCACAAUGGGCGAAAGCCUGAUGCAGCAACGCCGCGUGAGUGAUGAAGGCCUUCGGGUUGUAAAGCUCUGUCUUCUGGGACGAUAAUGACGGUACCAGAGGAGGAAGCCACGGCUAACUACGUGCCAGCAGCCGCGGUCAUACGUAGGUGGCAAGCGUUGUCCGGAUUUACUGGGCGUAAAGGAUGCGUAGGCGGAUACUUAAGUCAGAUGUGAAAAUCCCGGGCUUAACUUGGGAACUGCAUUUGAAACUGGGUAGCUAGAGUGCGGGAGAGGAGAGUGGAAUUCCUAGUGUAGCGGUGAAAUGCGUAGAGAUUAGGAAGAACACCAGUGGCGAAGGCGACUUUCUGGACCGUAACUGACGCUGAGGCAUGAAAGCGUGGGGAGCAAACA
rnacentral:rRNA from 1 species